rnacentral:rRNA from 1 species
ACACGUAAGGGGCGAGCGUUGUUCGGAAUUAUUGGGCGUAAAGGGCGCGUAGGCGGUUUUGUAAGCUUGAUGUGAAAUCCUAGGGCUUAACCCUGGAACUGCAUUGGGAACUGCAAGACUUGAAUCAUGGAAGGGAAACUAGAAUUCCAGGUGUAGGGGUGAAAUCUGUAGAUAUCUGGAAGAAUACCGGUGGCGAAGGCGAGUUUCUGGCCAAUGAUUGACGCUGAGGCGCGAAAGUGCGGGGAGCAAACAGGAUUAGAUACCCUGGUAGUCCGCACCAUAAACGAUGUACACUAGGUGUUGGGCCGAGCGGCUCAGUGCCGAAGCUAACGUGAUAAGUGUACCGCCUGGGGAGUAUGCCCGCAAGGGUGAA